rnacentral:rRNA from 1 species
UACGUAGGGGGCUAGCGUUGUCCGGAAUCAUUGGGCGUAAAGAGCGUGUAGGCGGUCCGGUAAGUCCGCUGUGAAAGUCGGGGGCUCAACCCUCGAAUGCCGGUGGAUACUGUCGGGCUAGAGUGCGGAAGAGGCGAGUGGAAUUCCUGGUGUAGCGGUGAAAUGCGCAGAUAUCAGGAGGAACACCUAUUGCGAAGGCAGCUCGCUGGGACGUUACUGACGCUGAGACACGAAAGCCAGGGGAGCGAACGGG